AAGCCCCGGGGCCGAUUGGGGCCCGUUUUCAAACUUGCAUUUUGACGUGUCACACCGCGGGGCU
rnacentral:tRNA from 1 species